CAACAAUAUGCAUGAAUUGAGCUUAUUUCCAUCCAUGAAACACCAAAAGUGACAGCAAAAGUAGUUGUCCAUCUUUCAACCAACUCUGAAUGGCUUCUAGUGAAUACUUGUUUUUUCCUCUACCCUUCCUACAGCCUAAAAAUCAUCAAUAUAACUAUUGACCCUCUUCACGGAGGAUAGAGGAGACAGAGAAAACUUCUGGCUCAUCCUGAGAUAAUUACAGGUAGACCACAAUUGAGCCCAACAUUUCUGUUGUUAAGUGAAACAUUUAUUAAGUGGGUUUUGGCCCCUUUUAUGACCUUUCUUGCCACAGUUGUUAAGUUAGCAACAUGGUUGCUAAGUGAAUCUGGCUUCCCCAUUGACUUUGCUUGUGAGAAGGUCACAAAAGGAGAUCACAUGACCCUGGGACAGUGCAAUGGUCAUAAAUAUGAGUCAGUUGCCAAGCAUCCGAAUUUUGAUCAUAUGACCAUGGGGAUGCUGCAAUGGACGUAAGAGUGAAAAAUGGCCAUAAGUUCCUUUUUUCAAUGCCAUUGUAACUUUGAACACUCACUAAAUGAACUGUUGUAAGUCAAAGACUACCUGUAUAAGUCCUGUACUAUCUAGCAACUAUGACACGUAUCAAUACUAUCCAUAUGAAAAUUCUUUGUCUAUUUAGAUGCAUUUCCUGAGUGCAUUGCAUUAACAUUCAGUUUGCAACUGAAACUGUAUGGAUAUGGAUGGAUAUAUCUUUUGAUGUUUCACAUGUGGUUUUUCACAUUUAAGACCAUUAGUCAAGAAAUAUAGGUGAAUAUUUUUUUUCAUUCUUAUCUUUUAUCCCCAGCUCUCCUUCCUAUGCUACAAUAUAGUUUCCAAAGAUAAAAUCUCUUGCACGUUCUAAAAACCAGGUAAGUUUAAGAAAUUAAGCUAACAGGAUACAGGCCUUUUAUUUAUUUAUUUUCCUUGUUUCAAAAAGGUACACCUCUUGAUGACACAUAUACAUUGUGUAAGUGCAUUCUAGGAUCCUUUACAAAUUUUAUUCCAAAUUUAAAUGCAUGGUUUGUUCAGAAGAACAGCUAA